UAAUUAAAGCAACCAAUUUAUUAAAGCAAACGUAUUUAUUCAUGUACACAGCUGCCUCUCCCUAAGGUAGGGUUCGGGGGUCAGCAUUGAAUGUGAGGAACACAGGAUUUGAAACGUGUCUUUCUUGUUUUAUAACUUGGUUCCGUUAUAUAAAUCACUCGAUCAAAACAUUACUACAUUAAAAAUGGAAUUUGAAAUGACCCGAAUCUGUCAUCCUGGGCCAGUCACUUAUAUGUAGCUCCAGAGUAAACUCCCUUUCUACAUCAACACCUUAAGAGAGGAAUAGGGGCAAAAUGUGAAGGGGCGCGUUCUCCACGAAACCCUUGUGGUCUCACAUUUCCACACCCGUACACCUCUUCUCGCGGUCCGGGGAACUAGAGUUAAAGUUUACUGGACUAGGAACUUGCUGGAUCACUUCCGGGAGCCUGCUCUAGGAACUUCCGCUAUCCGGUUCUAUCCCCUAAGUUUAGUAGCUCGCACUAGGUCUGGCGCCCUCCAUUAUGGAGUAUGACGCAAAAGCCCAGAGACACCACAAACCCAAAAACCUCAAGGUAGAGGAGACCCCGCAGCGGAGGCGAGUGGCAUGAUGCGCACCGUUCGACCCACGCGCAGCUUUCCUUCAUGGGGAGGCGCGUGUGCCUUGCGCACAAACCCUUGGCUGCUGAUUGCGCAGCGCGCCCUCUCCUAGGGGCCAAACUGCGAUCCCGCGCUGGGGCCGAGUUUGCACUGCGCGUGCGCAAGAGUAUCAUUGAGUGUCGUUUGUGCUCCCGGCGCUGCUCGCCAGGGGGCGAGCUGUACCCUCCCGCCAAUGGUGUUAGCAUCGCUGCGCGUGCGCAGAAACAGCCGCGCCCAGGUUCUAAAGGACGCGUGCGGCCCCGGGGACGAAAAUCAGAUUGACAGCCGUGUUCUCCUAGGAGUGGAGCCACGUGGCGCUGGCGAUCGCGGCGGAAGUAGUGAUGACAAUAACAUGCUACGACAUGCUGGCCUAGCAGAACGGUGCAACAGAAACGAGAAAGUGGCUGGAGUGCUCGCGAGGCCCUGAGGUUCCCUUCCCAGCGCCUCAAGGGUUUCCCAAUGGACUCCUGGCUGUCCUGGACUUCACUGUGUACAUUAGUCUGGCCUCCAACUCAAAUCCACGGUCUCUGCCUCCCCAGUGAUGGACCCAAAGACAUGGGCCACCAUGCCUGGCCAAGAGGACAAAUUUUUCACAGCCUUGUGCAAAUGUGUGUUGUCUAAAACAGAACAAGGCCAACAACAACAACAUCUUAUAGGCUGGGGAUGGUUCACUGGGAAGACCAGUUGCUAUGCAAGCAAGAGGACCUGAGUUCCAAUCCCAGGUACCCCUUUAGAAGCUGUGCGUGGUUCUACAGCUUUGGGACCAGUGACAAGCAAAUCCCUGGAGCACGCUGGUCAGCCAGCUUCGAGAAAACUGCAAGCUUCAAGUUCAAUCUUUGAGACCUGGUCUCACAGGAGUAAUGCGGAGUUAGAACACCCAGCAUUCUGAUGGAGCCACCCUCCCAUGAGCAGCCGUGCAAAAGCACAGGACUGCGAACUUAUGAAGCGCUUGCUCCCGCUGCUGUUUAAUUCCCUUGAAGGUAUCCUGAUGGAUAAGUGCAGCCAACUUGCCCCCCAAGAACUUACACAGCCAUAGGUCUCUGGGCAUAGUGUGUCUGCUAGACCUCCUCAGGAUAGGUUUCUCCUAGUGUUCCUCCUCUCCUUUCUCCAGGGCAAACACACUGUUGUCUCGCUGGGGCCAAUUACUUCUCCCUCUCUCAGGACUCAGCGGGGCUACAAAUCCCAUGCCUGCGGUUCAGCAUCCCAUGGGCACAGUCCUCAGCCCACCGGGUUAGCGGCCCUCACCUCGGGCUCUUUGUCUCUGUGCUCCUAGUCACACCCGGAACCUCGCCAGCUCUCAGAGCACCUAGAGGAGGAACUCCGCAGUUGUAGCUGAGGAGGCUGAGGCUUGUUUACUGUCACCGUGGAAACUCCCAGGCGCCAUUCCAGAUAGGGCCUGGUCCACAAUUCCCUCCUGUGUAGAGCCUGGGGAAGCCCCGCGAUCCCUAGCUCUCUACCCCUGCUCAGCCCACCUCCAAGUACCUGGGAACAGUAGCAAGGACCUGGGUUUUGCUGGAUCAAAGUGAUAAGGUAGGAAAACAGCGCAAGAGGCUGAGGCAGGAGGAUCAGAACUUAUAGGCUGGCUAUCUUAGUCAAUGCAUCUGUGUCUCUUAGAGAAGUAAAUAGAAUCUGGAAAGACUCUAAUGGUAGAGAAUGCACUUAGCAUUCUUAAGGUUUUGAGUUCAAUCAGCACCUGAACAAUAAUACUUAGAAAGAAAUACAUCAAAUAGGGUCUCAGGAUCGCAAAAUCUGGCCUCUGUUGAACUUGGUUUGUAGCCGAGGCUGUCCUUGAACUUGAAGUUGGUUAGAACUUGUAUUAUUUCUGAAAACAUAGCAAGGUGCAGGGUACUCCUCUGAUUCCAGCUCUCUAGGGAGAUAACUAGGGAAGUAAGAAGACCAGGAGUGGGGUUGGGGAUUUAGCUCAGUGGUAGAGCGCUUGCCUAGGAAGCGCAAGGCCCUGGGUUCGGUCCCCAGCUCCGAAAAAAAAAGAACAAAAAAAAAAAAAAAAAGAAGACCAGGAGUACAAAGACACCCUCUGCUUGUUCAUGAGUUUAAGGCCCAGGCUACAGGCAAUCUGAAACCUAAGACCCUGUUUCAAACAGCAAAAGUAAAAAGAAAGAAAGAAAAGAAGAAAAUA